rnacentral:rRNA from 1 species
UCGGGAAUUUUGGGCAAUGGGCGAAAGCCUGACCCAGCAACGCCGCGUGAAGGAUGAAAUCCCUCGGGAUGUAAACUUCAUAAGAACGGGAAGAAUAAGUCCGGGUUAAUACCACGGACGAUGACGGUACCGUUAGUAAGCUCCGGCUAACUCCGUGCCAGCAGCCGCGGUAAUACGGGGGGAGCAAGCGUUGUUCGGAUUUACUGGGCGUAAAGGGCGCGUAGGCGGCCAGCGCAAGUCAGUUGUGAAAUCUCCGGGCUUAACUCGGAAAGGUCAACUGAUACUGCGCGGCUAGAGUGCGGAAGGGGCAACUGGAAUUCUCGGUGUAGCGGUGAAAUGCGUAGAUAUCGAGAGGAACACCUGCGGCGAAGGCGGGUUGCUGGGCCGACACUGACGCUGAGGCGCGAAAGCUAGGGGAGCGAACGGG